AUAUCAGUCAUGCAUAGCAUAUCAAUAAGCGGAGGAAAAGAAACUAACAAGGAUUCCCUUAGUAACGGCGAGUGAAGCGGGAAGAGCUCAAAUUUGAAAUCUUCAAGGUUUUACCUUGACGAAUUGUAGUUUAAAGAAGUGUUUUCUGUGAAGUUUUGGUAAAAGUUCUUUGGAAUAGGACAUCAUAGAGGGUGAGAAUCCCGUAUUUGACCAUUAUUUUCAGCUGUGUGAUACACUUUCAAAGAGUCGGAUUGUUUGGGAAUGCAGUCCAAAAUGGGUGGUAAAUUUCAUCUAAAGCUAAAUAUUGGCGAGAGACCGAUAGCGAACAAGUACCGUGAGGGAAAGACUGAAAAGAACUUUGAAAAGAGAGUUAAACAGUACGUGAAAUUGUCAAAAGGGAAGCGUUUGACACCAGUGUUGUUUUCUCGAAAAUCAAUUAAAAAAUGCUCGGAUUUUGUAGUUGUAUUGAGACCUUAAAAGCUCACUGUACAUUUUUCGUGUCUUUUUUAAUGCACUUUUCGUUUAACAAGUCAACAUCAGUUUCUUUUGUUGUAAAAGGGUCAUUGGAAGGUGGCUUUCUUUUCGGAGAAAGUGUUUAUAGCCUUUGAUCUCUGCAAUCGGAGAGACUGAGGUCUGCAGCGUAGAUCCCUCGGGGUUAGAUACAUUUGUGCUAAGUUAUAACUUUUCAUAGACAACUUGUUGACUAUGUUUUAGUCAUGUAGCUUACUCGCUUAUGCUAUUUUACCUACGCUUAGGAUGUUGAAGAUGUAGCACAUCAU
rnacentral:rRNA from 1 species